rnacentral:pre_miRNA from 1 species
AAACUACUCUUUCCGUCCCAUAUUAAGCGACUUUCCAUUACAUGUAUCUAGACGCAUUUUAGGCAUAGGUACAUCCAUAUUUGGACAAAUUUAAGUCGCUUAAUAUGGGACGGACAGAAUACAAC